AGGUUGGCUCAGAAGCAGCCAUCCUUUAAAGAGUGCGUAACAGCUCACUAGUCGAGUGACCCUGCGCCGAAAAUGUACCGGGGCUAAGCCUGAUACCGAAACUGCGGAUUGUAGGAAACUAUAGUGGUAGGGGAGCGUUGUAUACGAGCAGAAGCCGUACCGUGAGGAGCGGUGGAUUGUAUAGAAGUGAGAAUGCCGGUGUGAGUAGCGAGAUGUAGGUGAGAAUCCUACACACCGAAAGCCCAAGGAUUCCAGGGGAAGGUUCGUCCGCCCUGGGUAAGUCGGGACCUAACGCGAGGCCGAAAGGCGUAGUGGAUGGAAAGCAGGCGAAAGAUUCCUGCACCCGUAUAUGGAGCGAAGGAGUGACGGAGACGGAUAGUGUGACCCUCUUAAUGGAUUGAGGGCGAAGCGAAGCGGCUGGUUACCAGGCAAAUCCGGUAACCAUAAGGCUAGAGCGUGACAGGUAAGCGAAAUCUUCGGAAAGUAGCGAAGCACAUGAUGACGGCUUCCAGGAAAAGCUUCUGGCAAUGCAUAUGCGGCCCGUACCAAAACCGACACAGGUGGGCAGGGAGAGAAUCCCGAGGUGAGCGAGAGAACUGUUGCCAAGGAACUCGGCAAAAUGACUCCGUAAGUUAGCGAGAAGGAGUGCUUAAGCAAUUAAGCCGCAGUGAAGAGGCCCAAGCGACUGUUUAACUAAAACACAGCUCUCUGCGAAGUCGCAAGACGAAGUAUAGGGGGUGACACCUGCCCGGUGCUGGAAGGUUAAGAGGAUCUGUUAAGAGCGAUCUGAAGCAGUGAUCCGAAGCCCCAGUGAACGGCGGCCGUAACUAUAACGGUCCUAAGGUAGCGAAAUUCCUUGUCAGGUAAGUUCUGACCCGCACGAAAGGUGUAACGAUUUGGGCGCUGUCUCGGCAGCAGACUCGGUGAAAUCUUAGUACCUGUGAAAAUGCAGGUUACCCGCAACUAGACGGAAAGACCCCAUGGAGCUUUACUGCAGCCUGAUAUUGAAUUCUGGUCAUACAUGUACAGGAUAGGUGGGAGACAAAGAGACGUGCACGCCAGUGUACGAGGAGUCGACGUUGGGAUACCACUCUUGUGUGACCGGGGUUCUAACCUGGUAUCGAGAACAGGUACGGGGAGAGUGUCAGGUGGGCAGUUUGACUGGGGCGGUCGCCUCCCAAAGAGUAACGGAGGCGCCCAAAGGUUCCCUCAGAAUGGUUGGAAAUCAUUCAUAGAGUGUAAAGGCAGAAGGGAGCUUGACUGCGAGACCUACAAGUCGAGCAGGGACGAAAGUCGGGCUUAGUGAUCCGGCGGUGCUGAAUGGAAAGGCCGUCGCUCAACGGAUAAAAGCUACCCUGGGGAUAACAGGCUGAUCUCCCCCAAGAGUCCACAUCGACGGGGAGGUUUGGCACCUCGAUGUCGGCUCGUCGCAUCCUGGGGCUGUAGUAGGUCCCAAGGGUUGGGCUGUUCGCCCAUUAAAGCGGUACGCGAGCUGGGUUCAGAACGUCGUGAGACAGUUCGGUCCCUAUCUGUUGUGGGCGAAGGAGAUCUGCGGAGAGCUGUCCUCAGUACGAGAGGACCGGGAUGGACCUACCGCUGGUGCACCGGUUGUUCCGCCAGGGGCAUAGCCGGGUAGCUAAGUAGGGAAAGGAUAAGCGCUGAAAGCAUCUAAGCACGAAGCCUACUCCAAGAUGAGAUCUCCCAUUCGCAAGAAGUAAGACCCCUUAAAGACGAUAAGGUAGAUAGGCCAGGGAUGGAAGUGCAGUGAUGUACGGAGUUGACUGGUACUAAUCGGUCGAGGACUUAAUC
rnacentral:rRNA from 1 species